ACUGCUCGCUUCGGAUACUCCAGGCGUCUCCCGUUGCGGCCGCUCCCUGCCUUAGAGGCCAGCCUUGGACACUUGCUGCCCCUUUCCAGCCCGGAUUCUGGGAUCCUUCCCUCUGAGCCAACAUCUGGGUCCUGCCUUCGACACCACCCCAAGGCUUCCUACCUUGCGUGCCUGGAGUCUGCCCCAGGGGCCCUUGUCCUGGGCCAUGGCCCAGAAGGGGGUCCUGGGGCCUGGGCAGCUGGGGGCUGUGGCCAUUCUGCUCUAUCUUGGAUUACUCCGGUCGGGGACAGGAGCGGAAGGGGCAGAAGGUGAGACUUUCCUCGGAGAGGGAGGAGGGGAGGGGGAGGUGACUUGGAUCGGAUUCCCCUGGGGUUUAACCAGUGCCUGGCCUUCAGCUGGGCUGCCUUCCAACUAGAUUCUCUUAGGGCUCCCAGAGUGGGGGGUUUUAGCCCUCACCUUAUGGGCAGAGAAGCAGGGACUUGCCCAGGGCACACUGCCAGUGAAGGUGCAGCUGGGAUUCAGAUCCACGUCUGACUCCCAAAGUGGGGCAAUCGAGGUGGUUUUUUUGGUUUGGUUUUUGUCUUUUGAAACAGGGUCUGGGUCUGUCGUCACCCAGGCUGGAGUGCAGUGGCCCGAUCGCAGCUCACUGCAGUCUCAGUGAUCCAGCCUCCCGGGCUCACGUGAUCCUCCCACCUCCCCACCUCAGCCUCCCUAGUGGCUGGGACUACAGGUGCAUGCCAUCACACCCAGCUAGUUGUGUUUUGUUUUUGUUUUUGUUUUUGUUUGGUAGAGAUGUGGGUCUCACUAUGUUGGCCGGGCAGGUCUUGAACUCCUGGGCUCAAGCGAUCCUCCUGCCUUGGCCUCUCAAAGUGCUGGGAUUACAGGUGUGAGCCACCGUUCCCAUCCUGGAGGUGGUUUUGAGGGAACCAAACCAAGGGUCUCCUUUCUUGGAAGGCACCCAACCCAGCUCUGAGUCAGACCGGCUUUCAAUCCUGGCUUCCCCAUGCACUGGCUGUGUGUCAUUGGCCAAGUCCCCCCACUUCUCUAAGCCUUAGACUCCUCACCUCUAAAAUGAAGCUGGUCAUGUCCGUCUCCUGGGGCUGUGGAGAGGAUGCAGGGAGAUGAGGAAGCGAAAGCCCCUCCAGGGCCUGGCACAGCCGCUAGGCUCUCUAAAUAGUGGCUAUUGUCAUGAUGAUAAGGGAGAGAAAGAUCUGGUCUGCAAUUUUCUCUGCUCCUAGAUGACUUUGUGAAGAGCAGUUGGGCUCCACUCCAAAGUGGCCUCAAUGGGGGUGGGGCUGGGGCUGUCCUGGAAACUAGACAUUCACAUCACAGGAGCCCAGUUCUGCUGUUGGUUUGUUGAAUAUAUGUCCACGACGCCACAGGCACUGCAGACAUGAGAAUCUGCCCCUAGGGAAUGCCC
rnacentral:lncRNA from 10 species